rnacentral:lncRNA from 1 species
AAGCUGGUUUCUCUGCGCCAGAGCUGCUUCUAAAGCUUCCUAGGGUGUCGCCCUCUGGCGGCAAGACUUCUGCAGCCGAUGCAUGCAGACCCUCCGCUGACGAGUCAAGGUCACUCAACGCACUCCUGACGCCUUCCGCAAGCAUACUGGAGGCGAUUUCUUGCGGACCCACGUUUGGCUGCUCCUGCUCAAAGCCAGCAUUAACUUCGACGUCCUUUUUUGCAAGCUCUGUGUUUCGUAAACUGGAACAACACGUGGGGUGUUUGUCUCCCCUAUGAGGGUCACUGUGGCUUGGACGUUUUUCAGGGAAAGUGUCCGCGCAGCGGUUAGACAUUUCUUCACUUUGAUCAAACGACUGCGGGGGCUGAGGGGAGACUCGUGGGUUCAAAUCUAUGCUUAUUGCCGAACCGGAAAUAAUCGUGUGCGGACGCGACGUCUGGCUCUCAGCAUGGGACACGCUGCAGACGAUUGGCCUUUCCUUUGCCUGUGAGAGACGAACCUUUUCACCGGUACUGUCCCUGGUGUAUGUAUAACGUAAAGACUGUUUUAGCAUCUGUAGACUUUUCCCUGUAUUCGAAAUGGAUCUUGUCGAUCUUGACGAGUUCCUCGAUGGUGUGCUUGGCUUCCGCGGCAUGGUAGCCACAUCUGGCCGGGAACACCCACGGAGUUCUCUAGGUUCCAUCCCUCCUUCUGGAAUAAGCCUGUUUUGGUAGGAGUGGUUUCCCUCCUCCUGAACAUUCUUCUGCGCUUGCCGUGUCGACUGCACGCCAGCCAGAUCACCCGAAAGGUUUUGCCGGCAGUACUGCCCCGAGAAUCCCCGCGAAAGUGUUCUGCCUUCCCGAUUUAGUGUCUGCGGCCUUAGUGAGCCGUGGCGCAGGUUACCCUGCACACCAUGCAUUCGAACGGUAGACGAGGAG